rnacentral:rRNA from 1 species
GACGAACGCUGGCGGCGUGCUUAACACAUGCAAGUCGAACGAUGAACCCGGAGCUUGCUCCGGCGGAUUAGUGGCGAACGGGUGAGUAACACGUGAGUAACCUGCCCUUGACUCUGGGAUAACUGCUAGAAAUGGUAGCUAAUACCGGAUACGACCCUCGGUGGCAUCACCAGGGGGUGGAAAGCAUUUCGGUCAAGGAUGGACUCGCGGCCUAUCAGCCAGUUGGUGAGGUAACGGCUCACCAAGGCGACGACGGGUAGCCGGCCUGAGAGGGUGACCGGCCACACUGGGACUGAGACACGGCCCAGACUCCUACGGGAGGCAGCAGUGGGGAAUAUUGCACAAUGGGCGCAAGCCUGAUGCAGCAACGCCGCGUGAGGGAUGACGGCCUUCGGGUUGUAAACCUCUUUUAGUAGGGAAGAAGCGAAAGUGACGGUACCUGCAGAAAAAGCACCGGCUAACUACGUGCCAGCAGCCGCGGUAA